GUAUGAGAAAAGAAAAAAAGUUGAUCUUGCUUCGGCAGAGCAUUCACUGUUUUCACUGGAACGUCGUCUCACCAGAGACACGGUUCCAGGAAAAACUGUUCAAGAGUUAAAAUUCUGCGGAUUUUCCAGGGAUUGUCCACACGGCAGACAGAGAGGUGUGACUUACCUCCUCUGGACAAGCACUUGUUGAUGAGGAGGAAGAUGAAGCUGAUCGCCAGGCUCACAAAGAGGAUGCCACAGAUCACCCACAGCCACAUGUAUUUACGUAGAAGCUCCAUGGGCGAUCUGCUCUCGACGCCGCAGAGGAUUAAA